rnacentral:rRNA from 1 species
UACGUAGGGUGCAAGCGUUAAUCGGAAUUACUGGGCGUAAAGCGUGCGCAGGCGGUUGUGCAAGACAGAUGUGAAAUCCCCGGGCUUAACCUGGGAACUGCAUUUGUGACUGCAUCGCUGGAGUGCGGCAGAGGGGGAUGGAAUUCCGCGUGUAGCAGUGAAAUGCGUAGAUAUGCGGAGGAACACCGAUGGCGAAGGCAAUCCCCUGGGCUAACACUGACGCUCAUGCACGAAAGCGUGGGGAGCAAACAGG